rnacentral:rRNA from 1 species
CCGUACCCAUCCCGAACACGGACGUGAAGACCUCCAGCGCCGAGAAUACUUGUCUCGAGAGGGACUGGGAAGGUAGGUCGUUGCCAGGC